GUUUUUCUUUAUUUUCCAGGUCAGUGUUUCAUCGGGAUUUUGCUUCCUAUUCCAAAUUGCCCUGGAGAAGGUGGUGCAACAGUUCAGGAUCGACAAUAAACACGUGUUGUCACCGAAGCCCACAUCCUGUGAAUGAACCAGUGAUCGAUGUUCAGAACUGACAUCUUGCAGUGAGGAGGAGCGAUCCAUUAUCACAGUUCAAUGCGAUGGAGGUGGGUUUGCGCAAUUGAAAUGUUUCAGGAUCCAGGUAACAAAGAAUGCAACGUGAGGAAAUUGUGAAAAUGUCAACAGCUCAAGUUCCAGAUCAUUUUUGCGGG